CGCAGUUGAUACCUGCUAAUACAAAACUUUAUUCAGGAAAUGAAAUUUGAUAAAGAGCGCUCGUGGUAGAUGAACAAUGGAAAAGUCAUAGCUAGUGCAACAAGACAUCUGUCAAGCCUUUUUAAAAUUGUUGACAUCUGUCGUGGACCUUCUGGAAUGGUAUAAUAACAGCGGCUACGCUAUGCAACCAAAACUUAAAAGCUGGGAAGUAGGAACCAAGGCACCUGGCAAGGAGAGACUGUUAAACAUGUCACGCAUGACAAAUCCCACCACCUAACCAAAGACAUUAUACCGUGCAUAACACACACAAUCUGCAUGAAGCGGACAUUAAGGUUGAAAUAUAGGUUCCCUCGUCCUGAUGAUAGCAUUCAGGGAAGAGGCCAAGGAGCACCGUGAAAUGAAACUCCUCCAAUCAAGCCAUACAGCCAUUAUAAUAUUCUAUUCGAGAUGGCCAAAUGGUAUUGUAAUUGACCAAAUGACGCAUGUUAGCCCUUCAAAACUCAAAGCAUCCAACACCAAACAAGAAAUUAGACCGUCGAUUAAUUCGUUCAACGAUAGAUAUAAAUCUACGACUACUCGAUUGCACAGGAAAACAUACAAACUUGCAAGAAUCAAUAAUGACUUGCGCAAGAAUUGAUAAACAUGGCUGCAACACAAACUAUUUCUAACACGAGUCUUUUCCUGUCGGCCAACAAAAAAGCAAUACAUCAUGAGGUGACUGUAAUCCUAGUACAGUGUAUGUGAGCUUUUAUGGUAAAUAUCACACAGAUAAUUUGGCUGGGAGUAGAGUAGUAGUGUCUAAUCUGGUUGUUGACAACAGAAAACA
rnacentral:misc_RNA from 1 species